GCAAGUCUGGUGCCAGCAGCCGCGGUAAUUCCAGCUCCAAUAGCGUAUAUUAAAGUUGUUGCAGUUAAAAAGCUCGUAGUUGAAUUUCGGGAUCAAUAUUUCGGUCAUGCCGUUGGUAUGCACUGUUAUCAUUGAUUUCUCACCUUCUAAAGAACCAUAAUGCCAUUAAUUUGGUGUUACGGGGAAUUAGGACUGUUACCUUGAAAGAAUUAGAGUGUUUAAAGCAGGCUCACGCUUGAAUACAUUAGCAUGGAAUAAUGAAAUAGGACAUCCGAUUCUAUUUUGUUGGUUUCUAGGAUCGAUGUAAUGAUUAAUAGGGAUAGUUGGGGGCAUUAGUAUUCAAUUGUCAGAGGUGAAAUUCUUGGAUUUAUUGAAGACUAACUACUGCGAAAGCAUUUGCCAAGGAUGUUUUCAUUAAUCAAGAACGAAAGUUAGGGGAUCGAAGACGAUCAGAUACCGUCGUAGUCUUAACCAUAAACUAUGCCGACUAGGGAUCGGAUGAUGUUAAUUUUUUAAUGACUCAUUCGGCGCCUUACGGGAAAC
rnacentral:rRNA from 1 species